rnacentral:rRNA from 1 species
UUNGAAUUUCGGGUAGUCUAAUAUGUUGGUCGUGCCUUGGUACGUACUGGUCGUCUAUUGGUUUCUACCUUACUGAAGAACCUCGAUGUCAUUAAUUUGGUGUCUUGGGGAAUCAGGACUGUUACUUUGAAAAAAUUAGAGUGUUUAAAGCAAGCUCGCGCUUGAAUACAUUAGCAUGGAAUAAUGAAAUAGGACGUUUGAUUUUAUUUUGUUGGUUUCUAGGAUCGACGUAAUGAUUAAUAGGGAUAGUUGGGGGCAUUAGUAUUCAAUUGUCAGAGGUGAAAUUCUUGGAUUUAUUGAAGACUAACUACUGCGAAAGCAUUUGCCAAGGAUGUUUUCAUUAAUCAAGAACGAAAGUUAGGGGAUCGAAGACGAUCAGAUACCGUCGUAGUCUUAACCAUAAACUAUGCCGACUAGGGAUCGGAUGAUGUUAAUUUUUAAUGACUC